rnacentral:rRNA from 1 species
ACGGCUCAGUAACACGUAGGUAACCUACCCUUCGGACGGGCACAACCCCGGGAAACUGGGGCUAAUUCCCGAUAGGUACCCCCUUCUGGAAUGUGGGGAUAUCCAAAGCUCCGGCGCCGAAGGAUGGGCCUGCGGCCGAUUAGGUUGUUGGCGGGGUAACAGCCCACCAAGCCGACGAUCGGUACGGGCAGUGAGAGCUGUAGCCCGGAGAUGGGGACUGAGACAAGGCCCCAGGCCCUACGGGGCGCAGCAGGCGCGAAACCUUCACAAUGCACGAAAGUGUGAUGAGGGUACUCCGAGUGCGCAUACAUUGUAUGUGCUUUUCUGCAGCGUAAAUAGUUGCAGGAAUAAGGGCUGGGCAAGACCGGUGCCAGCCGCCGCGGUAACACCGGCAGCCCUAGUGGUGGCCGCUUUUAUUGGGCCUAAAGCGUCCGUAGCCGGACAGGCGAGUCUUUGGGUAAAUCCUACGUCUUAAGCGUGGGAAUUCUAAAGAUACUACCUGUCUUGAGGCCGGGAGAGGCUGGAGGUACUCCUGGGGUAGGGGUAAAAUCCUAUAAUCCUGGGGGGACCACCGAUGGCGAUGGCAUCCAGCUGGAACGGGCCUGACGGUGAGGGACGAAACCCAGGGGAGCGAGCCGGAUUAGAUACCCGGGUAGUCCUGGGCGUAAAUGAUGUGGGCUUGGUGUGAGCGCAUCGACGAGGUGCGCUUGUGCCGUAGGGAAGCCGUUAAGCCCACCGCCUGGGGAGUACGGUCGCAAGGCUGAAACUUAAAGGAAUUGGCGGGGGAGCAC